GAUGAAGAACGUAGUGAAAUGCGAUAAGUAAUGUGAAUUGCAGAAUUCAGUGAAUCAUCGAAUCUUUGAACGCACAUUGCGCCCCUUGGUAUUCCGAGGGGCAUGCCUGUUCGUGCGUCAUUAUAACCCCUCAAGCUCAGCUUGGUGUUGGGGCCUGCUGCACUGGCAGCCCUUAAAAUCAGUGGCGGCGCCAUCUGGCUCUAAGCGUAGUAAUUCUUCUCGCUAUGGAGUCCUGGUGGAUGCUUGCCAUCAACCCCCAAUUUUUCUAUGGUUGACCUCGGAUCAGGUAGGGAUACCCGCUGAACUUAAGCAUAUCAAUAAGCGGAGGA
rnacentral:misc_RNA from 1 species